AAAGAUGAAAAGAACUUUGAAAAGAGAGUUAAACAGUACGUGAAAUUGUUGAAAGGGAAACGAUUGAAGUCAGUCAUACCAACGGGAAAUCAACCUUUUGAGCUCGGUCUCGUGGGUUUUGAAGAGUUUCAAAGCCUUCGGAUUCGCGGGAUUGGGAUCUCUUGGCGUACUUUUUCGUACGGUUAGUCAACAUCGGUUUUGAAUGUCAUAAAAUGACUGGAGGAAUGUAGCUUCGAUCUCGUAUUGAAGUGUUAUAGCCUUUGGUAGAUGUGAUGUUUGAGACCGAGGAUUGCAACGGAUACCCUUCAGGGCUAUUCGUCUGAUCUCUGAUACGUUGCCUUGAUGUUGAAAGCUUGCUUAUGAUGUUAGGGUAUUACGGUCAAAAGGUUAGAACGAAUUACAUUCGUUAAGGAUGUUGACGUAAUGACUUUAAACGACCCGUCUU
rnacentral:rRNA from 1 species